GAUGAACGCUGGCGGCGUGCCUAAUACAUGCAAGUCGAGCGAACAGACGAGGAGCUUGCUCCUCUGCCGUUAGCGGCGGACGGGUGAGUAACACGUGGAUAACCUACCUAUAAGACUGGGAUAACUUCGGGAAACCGGAGCUAAUACCGGAUCAUAUAUUGAACCGCAUGGUUCAAUAGUGAAAGACGGUUUUGCUGUCACUUAUAGAUGGAUCCGCGCCGCAUUAGCUAGUUGGUAAGGUAACGGCUUACCAAGGCAACGAUGCGUAGCCGACCUGAGAGGGUGAUCGGCCACACUGGAACUGAGACACGGUCCAGACUCCUACGGGAGGCAGCAGUAGGGAAUCUUCCGCAAUGGGCGAAAGCCUGACGGAGCAACGCCGCGUGAGUGGUGAAGGUCUUCGGAUCGUAAAACUCUGUUAUUAGGGAAGAACAAAUGUGUAAGUAACUAUGCACGUCUUGACGGUACCUAAUCAGAAAGCCACGGCUAACUACGUG
rnacentral:rRNA from 1 species